rnacentral:rRNA from 1 species
AGCGAACGCUGGCGGCAGGCCUAACACAUGCAAGUCGAACGAACUCUUCGGAGUUAGUGGCGGACGGGUGAGUAACACGUGGGAACGUGCCUUUUGGGUCGGAAAAACUCAGGGUCACUUGUGCUAAUACCGAAAGAGUCCUUCUAAUGCAAGAUUUAUCGCCAUUGUAGCAGCACGCGUCUGAUUAGCUAGUUGGUGAGGUAACGGCUCACCAAGGCGACGAUCAGUAGCUGGUCGGAGAGGAUGACCAGCCACACUGGGACUGGGACGCGGCCGAGACUACUACGGGAAGCAGCAGGGGGGAAUCUUGCGGAAUGGGCGAGAGCCUGACGGAGCCAUGCCGGGUGAAUGAUGAAGGUGUUAGGGAUGUAAAAUUCUUUCACCUGGGGCUAUAAUGACGGUACCCGGAGAAGAAGCCCCGGCUAACUUCGUG